rnacentral:tRNA from 1 species
ACUUAAUUAGUAUAAAUAGUACAAUUAAUUUCCAAUUAAUAGGUUUAAUUAAAAUUAAGUA